CACACACACAGAGAGAGAGAGAGAGAGAGAGAGAGGCACCCUAAUACACAAAUGAUAAUAAAUAAAAAGUAAGUCAAUAAAUCAAAGAUGGUACAACCUAAAUGUUUUUCCAAGAGAGGCUUUUAGGAAGGGGCUAAGAACUUCCCUCUCUUUUCAGAUGAGACAAGACUGACACAGACACCCAAGGACUCACUGCUGGAACCACAUGGAAUGUCCCCACCACGUUCAUGCUCCGCUGUGUUAUACUUCAUCUUAUUUCCCCUCUUUGUGUGUGUUGUGUAACUGGCUAGCCUUUGUGGAUGUUAAAAGUGUUUAUGGUGUUUUGAUAGGCAGUGUGCUAGGGACUGAGGUAGUGUGUUAGGUACUGAGGUAGUGUGCUAGGUACUGAGGUAGUGUGCUAGGUACUGAGGUAAUGUGUUAGGUACUGAGGUAGUGUGCUAGGUACUGAGGUAGUGUGCUAGGGACUGAGGAUCAGAGGGUGGUGUGGCUAGUUCUGAUUGUCAACUCAAUGAGGUUACAGAAAAAGGUCUCAGCAUGUUUAGAGAUCAUAAAGUGUAGUGAAUCAGGGGACUCAUCCUAAAUGUGGAUGGCACCAUUCCAUGGGCCGUGGUGCCAGCCUGACUACAAUGGAGAAAGCAAGCUAGGCACAAGAGGUCAUUGCUCCCCUCUCCAGUGUGGCCAACCCACCUCUGCUCCCAUACCUUCCUGGGACAGUGUUCCCUGGAACUGUGAAGCCAAGCAGACCCUUCCCUCUUUAAGUUGCAUUUAUUGGGCCUCUUAUCCCAGCAGCGAGACAAGUAACUAACACAGGUAGGUAAGGCCUGAGCCCUGCUUUCCAGGCCCUACUGGUCUAGAGGAGGGUGAACCGGAAGGAUGUCAUCAGGAUGUACAGCAUGCUGCCCUGGACCUGGGCCAAGACAAACACAAGGAUUUUAACUUUCUCUGGACGGAAAGAAUUCAAGGACAUGUUCUGGGGGAGCUGUUAUCUGCAGUGCACUUUGAAAGGUAGAUAAGAUGUUAGGAGAAAAAAACUGGGUGAAGGGCUUGAAUGCCAGGGCCGUGGGACACAGUGAGCUGCUGUGGGGUUAUGAGCGCUCAGCCAUGUAGGAAAGUGCACUGCUUAAUUAACCUGCCCAUUAAAUCUCAGAGAACCCUUUAGAAGGACAGGUUGCCUGAAGUCAAAGCAAGUGUUUUUAUUUGUUUAUUAUUAAUUUUUCUUUUCUCUAAAUGCCACAGGAGUGGCAGUUGGUCGGAUAAUUAGACUCAACUUGCACCCGUGCUCAGAUGUGCAGCCUGCUUUUGCUUUCCUUGAAAUCAUAUUUCCCUGCCUUGCUUGUUGGUUUAGAGACAGAGUCUCAUGUGCCCAGGCUGGCCUCAAAGUUGAUUUAUAGCUGAGGGUGGCCUUGAACAGCUGAUCCUCCUGCCUCUCCCAAGUGCUGCUAUUAUAGGCAUGUGCCCUCUUGCCUAGUUCACAUGGUGUUGGGGAUCUGGGGGACAAACCCUAGGCUCCAUGCAUGUUAGGGAAGUGCUCUGUCAACUGAACCACAGCCCCAGCCACACUGGGUAUAUUUUAAUACAACUGUUAUAUAGUUUUAUCGUCUAAUCAUCCUUUCCCCCAUGUUAAACAACCAGGUUCAGGGAAUCUGAUACAGCUCAUCUUUUCUGACCAUGUCUGUCUGUUGAACUCUGCAGUCGUUUCCAUAUUUAAAAAUUAUUGUUAGCUCUCUGGAGCAAUCUGCAUGUUCCUAUGCCGCCCCACCCCAAGUAUUCACCGUGUGUCAGAUAUUAUACUAAAUCACCGAUUGUCAAACAUUGUGGUCUAAGAAGCCUUUGUACUCCCAGAAAUCACUGAGGAUAUUAAAGACCUUUUGCUUAUGUGAAUUAUACUCAUUGAUCCUUGCCAUCUUAGAGCCAGAAAGGGAGAAAAUUUUCAAAUGUGUAUUUAUUUUAAAAUCAGAAUCCCCUUGGAGUCUAACAUAAAUAACAUAUUGUAAUGAAAAAGAUUACUGCUUUCCACAACAAAACAGUUCGAAGACUGGCGUUUUUUAUUUAUUUAUUUUCUUUGCUUUUGCAAGUAUCUUUUUAUGUGUGGCUCAAAAGAAAGCGGCUGGAUCUCUGACCCUGUGGCUCUAAUCCAUCUGUUGUGACCUAACAUGUUCUGUGACCUCUGCAGAAGUCCACUUCUUUUGACAAGGAUUAUUAUGAUGGAAAUAGUCGUGACCUCGUGGGUUUCCUUGAAGGAGUCUUGUGAACCCCAGGGAACCAUGGCCACACUUGUGGGAAGUGCUAUGAUGCCCUUGUUGGCUGUGGAGUGGACAGACUGACAUGUGGAGAUGGGGAGGGAGCUGGAAAGAGCCUGGUGUCUUUUGGUAUGUGUUAUUAUACUGGGUCGGAUUAGUCUCACAGUAAUUCUUGGGGCUGCAUUCGCUUAGAUUUGAACCCACGCAAAGAGAUUGUAUGUGUUUAGGUUUUCUUUAUAACUAAACAAAAACAUGGAAAUGAGGAAAAGUCAUGUGAAAACAUUAAAGAAUGGGUAACAAAAAAAAGACCACAAUGUUUCCAUCUCACCAAAAGAAGUCUCAGGGACUAGGAAGUGUAGCUCACUGGUAGAGUACUUGCUUGCCUAGUGUGGCCCAGGCCCUGGGAACAACUGAUAGCAACUAAACCAAACCAAACCAAAAAAAUAUUUCAGAAAUGAUAUCAUCCUCCAUAAGGGAGUAACAGGUGUUUCUUGGUAUUGUUUGUUCAUUACAAGUAGCUCUCUCCCUCCCUCCCUCUCUCCCUCCCUCUCUCCCUCCCUCUCUCCCUCCCUUCCUCCCUCCCUCCCAUCAUUUCUCUGUCUCUCUGUGAUAUGCACAUAUGCGUGUGUGGGGGUGGGCAGUGCCUGCCCCAGGUACAUGUGCAGAAGCCAGAGCAGGAUUUCCCAUGUCUGCCUUGUUCUCUGCCUCACUCCUUUGAGUCAGGGUCUGCUCUGAACCCGGAGUGAGGCUCGCCUCUUGGCUCCUUCCUUCCCACAGUGCUGGUGUUACAGGUGUGUGUGUGUGUGUGUGUGUGUGUGUGUGUGUGUGUGUGUGUCCAUUCUCAGCUUCUUUAUGUGAGUUCUGGGGAUUGGAACUCGGCUCCUCGUGCUUAAGUAGCAAGCAUUUUUCCCAGCUGAGCUGUCUCUCCAGCCCAAGGAGGUUGUUUGUCUCAACUAUUUUAAACCCCUUCCUUCACAGGCCGUUCCCCUGUCUAGUGCCGUGUGUGUGUGUGUGUGUGUGUGUGUGUGUGUGUGUGUGUGUGUCUGCGCGCGUGCGUUGAAAAGCAUUCCCUUCUGUAGUUUCUUCAGGCCGGGUACGUUAUCUCUUCAGAGAACAUUUUGGAGUUCUAUUUUAGAGUUGAAUUAAUCCAAGUAUCCAAAAGCUUUUCACCUGAUAUUUUGGAAGCUUUUUAUUAGACACAGCACUACAUGAUUUCCCAAUAUCCGUGAAACAAAUGGAUAUGAGGGUUCUAAUAAAACUGAUAUAUUUAUCUGUACCCUUCAACUCAUAAAAUGGAAUUUGAUCACAUUCAAAUUGUAUUUUGAAAUAUUUAGGGCAGUGUAUUGUAAAUGUUUUAAAAGUUAACUGGGGAAAAAAGAUGAAAGACUUUUAAUUUCCUUGGACUGGAAUAUUUCAAGUUGAAAGCUGCUGCAUCACAUUCUCCGUGCCUUCUGUGGCUGGUUUGGGAUUCUUGGCCUACGAUUGAAUAUUUUGCAUCACUUAAAAAAAAAAAAA